rnacentral:RNase_P_RNA from 1 species
AUGGCCGGAGGGUCCGUCGCUCGUCAUAUCCAUAAGUGGCGAGAGGAAAGUCCGGGCAACACAGAGCACCAUACUUGCUAACGGCAAGCUAUCGGCAACGGUAGAUAAGUGUGACAGAAAACGACCGCCUCCGGCCCCCGGAGGCAAGGGUGAAAAGGCGAGGUAAGAGCUCACCGGGCGCCACGGCGACAUGGCGCGCCGCACACAUUAUGGGUUGCAAGGUCAAGUAUACCGGCAUUCAAGGGCUGCUCGUCCAUUGCCGGGGGGUAGACUGCUUACGGCAGCGAUGCCAGAUAAAUGACGGACGGAGUGCCGUGGCUUCCUCUCGGGGAAAAGUGCGCGCUCCACAUAACCCGGCUUAUACUCCGACCAUGCUU